rnacentral:rRNA from 1 species
UACGAAGGGGCUAGCGUUGCUCGGAAUCACUGGGCGUAAAGCGCACGUAGGCGGAUUUGCCAGUCAGGGUGAAAUCCCGGGCUCAACCUCGGAACUGCCUUCGAUACUGGCAAUCUUGAGUCCGGGAGAGGUGAGUGGAACUGCGAGUGUAAGAGGUGAAAUUCGUAGAUAUUCGCAAGAACACCAGUGGCGAAGGCGGCUCCACUGGCCCGGUACUGACGCUGGAGGUGCGAAAGCGUGGGAGCAAACAGG